rnacentral:rRNA from 1 species
UACGGAGGGUGCGAGCGUUGUCCGGAAUCAUUGGGCGUAAAGGGCGCGUAGGUGGCCCGGUCAGUCUUUGGUGAAAGCGCGGGGCUCAACCCUGCGUCGGCCAGGGAUACUGCCGCGGCUCGAGCACUGUAGAGGCAGGCGGAAUUCCGGGUGUAGCGGUGGAAUGCGUAGAGAUCCGGAAGAACACCGGAGGCGAAGGCGGCUGCUGGGCGUGAUCUGACGCUGAGGCGCGAAAGCGUGGGGAGCGAACAGG